rnacentral:rRNA from 1 species
UACGUAGGGGGCAAGCGUUGUCCGGAAUCAUUGGGCGUAAAGAGCGUGUAGGCGGUUCGGUAAGUCGGCUGUGAAAGUCCAGGGCUCAACCCUGGGAUGCCGGUCGAUACUGCCGGACUAGAGUACUGCAGGGGAGACUGGAAUUCCUGGUGUAGCGGUGAAAUGCGCAGAUAUCAGGAGGAACACCGGUGGCGAAGGCGGGUCUCUGGGCAGUAACUGACGCUGAGGAGCGAAAGCGUGGGGAGCGAACAGG